UAAGGGGUGGGAUGGGCCGGGCUCCGCGCACACCCGGGCCGUGUCCUUCGCGCUCUGGCCCCUCCCCCGGAAAUCAGGCCCGCUCCGCGGCCGGGGCUGACGGCUGACAAUGAGAUUCCUCAUUCCCUUGAGAAGAAGAAAGACCACUCAGAAGCUUUGAGGCGUGUCCAUGGAGAAGAAAAACAUGCUUAUAAUUGAUGAGCAUAGUUGCUGCAAUCUCUGCCUGGAAGUUGGGCACACUGCACAAGGAUGUCAGAGCUGUCUGCAGCUGUCAGUCCAGCAAUUGGGAAUGCCUCCAGCUAGGGAUGCUGGAACUAUUUUUACAGUGGCGGUGCUGAGAGCCAUUGAAUCAAACUGUAAACCCUGUAUAUAAGGAAACCACUUCAAGCCAGGGGGUGUGGCGGCACUCCUAGUUCCAGCACCUAUGACUCCAGGUUCUCCUGAAAACAAUCCUGAAAAUGCCAGUAAUUCUGGUAUGAGGCCAGCCCAGAAUCCUUCAAAAAAAUAAACCCACUUGAAGCACUUCUAUACCACUUAUUGGCAUAGUUUGAGUGCCUCUGAUCUAUUAAUACAUUUAACCUCAUAACAUCUCAGAAGCAUGAUUAUCCCCAUGGUGUAAAUGGGAAAAAUGAAGCAAGAGAGAUUGUCAUUUAGCAAAGUCACAAAGAUAGCAAAUCCAGGAAAUAAUUCCAAAUUUCCUGACUCCCAGCCCAUUGCCUUACCCACAAGACCGUUCUUCCUUUGAAUCAGCUUCAACCACCAAAAGCAUAAGGACUCAGCAAACCUACUACCUGCAUCAGAAUAAACUUAGGUUUCCCCUAAUAUGUUCAAUAAAGCAGCCUUACUGUCCCCACUAAAGCAUACUGUAUCAUCCCUCCACACAGAGGAGAGCGUGGGCCAGCCACUACUUUGUGAAAGAGAGACGGUGUUUUAUGCCAUGCACUUCCUGAAAAUCAAAAAGACAGGAAGAUUCUGGCCCAUUCUGGAUCUCAACCUGAGUUAGUAUUAAAUCAAGGAACAAUUCAAUAUGGCUACCCUAUAAAACAAAAUAUCUCUUCUAAAAGUAGUUGACUGGCUAUACACUCUGGACUUUGCUGAUCUAUAAAAUAACUAUAUCCCAGUCACCAGUAGUGUUUCUGGGUCCUUCUAGCUGAGUGUCCUGCUAUGCUCCCUGCAGGUGUGCAGAAACAAAGAGUAUUCAGUUAAAAUCCAUGUCUCCUUCCCACUGCUGCUCUUUCUUGGACCAAACAAAGUCAAAUACUGCAGUAUAAAGCACGUUGGUUAUAUGAGGAGCAGAUUUGUUGUCUUCUCCCAGUUUCCCAGAGGGGCUCCACUACUGUUGAAGUAGUUCAAUUAGCUAUUCACAGAUCAACCCCUAAACAAAAUAAAUCACUUCAAAAGUUUAACUAGAAACUAUUCAAAUUCUGUAGUCUUAAUUUGAUUUUUUUUAAAUCAAAAUUAGGUCCAGUUUCAUCAAAUAUUUAAGAUCUGGAUCAAAGAACCUUAACUAUAGAAAAAAUGGGAAAAUUCUAAGAGAAGACAUAAUGAAGCACAAGUGCAAAAUGGGAGUACUAAGAGCCUGGUUCAAAGGCUACUGGAGUCAAUGUAAAAGAUGCCAUUGACUUCGGUAGGGUAAAAGCUCUAAAUCUCUAGCAAGGUUAAUGAAAAAUAAUGUUUUGGUACAUCAGAAAAUUGUGUGUAUGGAAAAUUUGGGGGUACAAGAAAAUUAGUUAUUCCAAAACCUUUGGCAGUGUCUGUAAGAAUUUUCUCUUUAUUGAAUUCCCUUACAAAAUUUGACCCUUUGUUACAUAUUCUAAAAAUAUUUCAUACGCUACUCAAAUCUCUUUUUCCUUCGCCUUGUCCCAUCAAUCCAGUUUGGCAGUUCUUGUUCCUCAUCUCCAAGCAUUUUUGUCAAGUACAUCUAAGCUGAAACCAACCUUCUUCAUAUCUUCCUUCAGCUUCUUGAACCACCUUUUUCUAGGUCUUCCUCAUGCUCUUUGUUCUCUGACUACUAGCUCUUGUACUCUGUGGCCAACAUAUCUCACAUCUCGUUAUCUCACAUGACCCAGCCAUCUCAGCAGAUACUCCCUGAGCUUUUCCAUGAUGGGACCUGCCUCCAUCAUGGGUCAUACUGUUUCACUGCAUAGUAUGUCAGUUUUUGUCUUAUCCAGCAUCCACCUGCACAUUCUCAUUUUGGUAGUGGAAGUAGUUGUUCUUCUGUCUUCCUCAUUGGCCAGCAUUCUGACCCGUAUGUCAUGGCUGGCCUAAUCAUGAACUUCUACACUUUGCUCUUUGGUUUAUGUGACAUAUUCUUAUAGUAUAAAAUUCUCAUCAACUCCUCUGUUUACACCAAGCACUCUUCAUUUGCUCCUAACAUCCACAUU